CAACAUGUGUGCGAUGACAGCCUGUGCGCUGCCUGUCAGUACAACAGCCUAUCAAAUUACAUCCACGUUGUGUUCGUCACACAGCAUUCACCCAAUCAAAUUGCAGGAAAACCAACGAAGAAGAGCUUUCAAACAACAGAAGAAUAAGUGAAGAUAAUUAUGCCAUAAAGUGUUUCGUUCGGGUAUUAAAAGUACGACUUGGUCAACAAAACAGGAAUUGCCGUAAGAUUACAGACGGAGACGCAUCAAUUUACAACUUCGUUCGACAUUUGAAGUUGCACAAAGAAGGGUGUACAAUACACUCACAGUUAUUGGAAAUUGCCCUAAAGCCAAACAGAACAUUUACAGGUCGCGGGGGGUGCUGGAGCCUAUCUCAGCUGCAUUCGGGCGGAAGGCGAGG